rnacentral:snRNA from 1 species
CUGCUUUAUCUGGCAGCACAUAUACUAAAAUUGGAAUGAUAAAGAGAAAAUUAGCCCCUGUGCAAGGAUGACACACAAAUCCAUAUUUGG